UACAGAGGGGGCAAGCGUUUGUUCGGAAUUACUGGGCGUAAAGGGCGCGUAGGCGGCCUGCUAAGUCGAACGUGAAAUCCCCGGGCUCAACCCGGGAACUGCGUCCGAUACUGACAGGCUUGAAUCCGGGAGAGGGAUGUGGAAUUCCAGGUGUAGCGGUGAAAUGCGUAGAUAUCUGGAGGAACACCGGUGGCGAAGGCGGCAUCCUGGACCGGUAUUGACGCUGAUGCGCGAAAGCCAGGGAAGCAAACGGGG
rnacentral:rRNA from 1 species